GACAUUAAUUCUGAUUGUCAGAUCCAAAAUAAAUUUAAGAAUGGAGAAGAACAUAUAUUAUACAAUUAUAACAGGAGCGACAUUAAAAGAUUCAAUAUCUCAUUUAAAAGGAGAUGACACAAUAGAAAGGCCAAACUUGGUAACAAGAGGUAACGUGGCAUAUUUGAUAAGGAAAUAUAAUGUUGACAAGAAAAGAGACCAUUAUGAUAUGGUAGCCACUGCUUUAAGAAUUAAUGGGAAAGGAAAAAAUGGCUAAGGGAAAAAUUAUGCUUUGUUUUCAAAUGAAUUGAGCGCCGAAAACCUAACUGAAUUGCUUCAAAACGGAGAUGGAAUGAUGAGGGACAGACCCUCUGUGAAUAUCUUUAUUUAUGAAAAUGUAUAAAGAAAAGUUUUUUUUUUCUUUCAUGGUACUACAAAAAAAAUCUGUUAAAUGGAAGGUUGGGCUGUUCGUGACCGGCAGAGAUGACAAUGCUAGCUGAAGAAGUGCUACAGACCAAGCAUGAUGGAUUUAGUUUCUUCUCUACCAUUUUAGUUUAAAGUUGUUAUUAUUUAAUAUAAUACAUUUUGACCAAUCUUAA